rnacentral:rRNA from 1 species
AUUGAACGCUGGCGGCAGGCUUAACACAUGCAAGUCGAGCGGAGACUUCGGUCUUAGCGGCGAACGGGUGAGUAAUACCUAGGAAUCUGCCUAUUAGUGGGGGAUAACGAAUCGAAAGGUUCGCUAAUACCGCAUACGUCCUGCGGGAGAAAGGGGGGGAUCUUCGGACCUCUCGCUAAUAGAUGAGCCUAGGCCGGAUUAGCUAGUUGGUAGGGUAAAGGCCUACCAAGGCGACGAUCUGUAGCUGGUCUGAGAGGAUGGCCAGCCACACUGGAACUGAGACACGGUCCAGACUCCUACGGGAGGCAGCAGUGGGGAAUUUUGGACAAUGGGCGAAAGCCUGAUCCAGCCAUGCCGCGUGAGUGAAGAAGGCCUCGGUUGUAAGACUACUUCUAGUGGAAGAAAGACGGA